GAAGAAAAUGUAUAUACAUUGCAAUCAAGUCUAACUUACAGUGAAGAAAAUUGCAGUCAAAUCUACCUUACAGUUGGUGAAGACGAAAAUGGGAGCGAGAAUUCAAAAUUGAUUGUAUGAAGAGAUUCAAAAGGUAGAAUUUGUUGUAUGAUGGUGUAUAUGGGUAGGGGAUUGGGGAAAUAUAAAGCACGUGUUUGGGCUUCCCGAAAUAAUGAAAUUU
rnacentral:misc_RNA from 1 species